ACCUCACCACUUCUUGCCAAUACCGCCUAUAUACCACCGUCGCCAGCCCACCCCGUGAGGGAAAUAGUAGGCACAAUGAUAAGUCACCAAAACGUCAGGUCAAGGUGUAGCGUAUGAAGUGGGAAGAAAUGGGCUACAUUCUCUAACCUAGAGCACACGAAAAAUCAUAUGAAAUUAGAUCAGAAGGAGGAUUUAGUAGUAAAAAGAAACAAUAGUGUUCUUUUUAAGUUGGCCCUGGGGCGCGCACACACCGCCCGUCACCCUCUUCAACUAAUAAAACACGAUUUAUAAAACAUAAAACAUUCUCUUUUAAGAGGUAAGUCGUAACAUGGUAAGUAUACCGGAAGGUGUGCUUGGAAUUA
rnacentral:rRNA from 1 species